AGCUUAUAAAAGAGCGUAGUAUUGAAGAUACUAAGGAAUUAUUUUAUUUUUAAGUA
rnacentral:tRNA from 1 species